GACUGGAACAGUGCCACAUCAGAUCUCUGUUGCUACCAUUUGAACGUGUCUCCUCCAAGUCUCAGAUGCUGCCAACGUAUUAGCAUAAGAGGUGACAAUAUCAUGAGGGCCUCUCCCCUUUAGCAUCAGCUACUUUACUGUUGCUAUAACAAAAUACCUGACAGAAGAGCUUAUGGAGGAAAGGGGUCGCAGUCCCUCAGGACAGGCACACUUGGCUGCAGGAGGAGCACUGACAGCAGCAGCAGGAGGGAGAGAGGAAGGCACCGACUCUGGCCGGUCCAGGCGGGUCCUGAUGUCAUCGGACGAUGCUGCCGCUGGGUCCCUUAUCACGAGCAUGUAUGUGAACAUGCUUCUCCUCUCCCGUGUGCUCUUUACAUCAAAGUCAACACAGGUUUAGGGUCUCUUCUCAUGGCAGAAAGAGCCCACAUGUGACAGACACUUCAACUUCCAGACUGUGUCCCUGCCCUGCAGCCGCUGUCUUUGCUGCUGGUGUCAGGAAGGAACUGGACAGACGCCUAAAAUCUGAUCUUUCUGGAUCCUCCCAGACACACAAACAUCUACAGGAAGGCUGGAUAUGGGAUGCUGCUGCAGAUUCCAGCCACAGGCCAACCUGCAAGCAAGCCUUCCUACGACCAGAAGAUGCCAAGCCAAGCCAAUCUUGAUAACGUAUUUUGGCACGACGGUCAAGAGGAGAUCUUUCUAGACACAUGAAAGCAGCAUACAGUGUUGGCUUGAAUCUGGCUCCAUGAGGUGAAAAGUAUUCCAGCAGACCCUGCGGGCUGUGCCAGCGCCAGCCACGCUGACCUGAACUCUGGUGGGAAGAGUGCCUGCCACCCACACUGCUAAGAAAACUGGUAUCUAUCGAAUCCCCCUCCCCACCCCCAAGGAUUUUUCCACAGCCAAAGUUGUCCUCUUGAGUCAGAGCACCACCCGAAGUCAAACCUCCAGACUCCACAGUCUACAUGGAAUCAGGAGUAAGCUCCCCAGAUGCAGAGCUGUCAGAAAAUCACGUUGAAGGCUGUGGAUCGGAACGC